AGGGCGCACGGUGGAUGCCCUGGCACCAGAAGCCGAAGAAGGACGCGAUAAGCUGCGAUAAGCUGCGAGUAGCCGCAAAUAGGCUGUGAUUCGCAGAUUUCCGAAUGGGGAAACCUAAUGUGCAAACGCACAUUACUUUAAGCUGAAUAAAUAGGUUUAAAGGGGGAUACCUGGGGAACUGAAACAUCUAAGUACCCAGAGGAAGAGAAAGAAUAAUCGAUUUCCUAAGUAGCGGCGAGCGAACGGGAAAGAGCCCAAACCAAGCCCUUCGGGGAUUGGGGUUGAGGACAGACAGAAGUGUAAAGUAAAUUUUAAUCGAAGAGGUCUGGAAAGGCCCGCCAUAGAAUGUAACGGCCAUGUAAAUAAAAAGAAGAACUUUACCAGUCUGAUCCAGAGUACCACGAGACACGUGAAACCUUGUGGGAAGCAGGGAGGACCACCUCCCAAGGCUAAAUACUAACUGGUGACCGAUAGCGAAUAGUACCGUGAGGGAAAGGCGAAAAGAACCCCAGAAGGGGAGUGAAAUAGAACCUGAAACCGUGUGCUUACAAGCAGUCGGAGCUCGUUAAGGAGUGACGGCGUGCUUUUUGUAGAACGAGCCAGCGAGUUACGGUAUGCAGCGAGGUUAAGCACUUAAGGUGCGAAGCCGGAGGGAAACCGAGUCUGAAUAGGGCGCUAAGUUGUAUGCUGUAGACCCGAAACCGGGUGACCUAUCCAUGGACAGGAUGAAGUUGAGGUAAAACUCAAUGGAGGUCCGAACUAAAUUGGUGUUGAAAAACCAUGAGAUGAUCUGUGGAUAGCGGAGAAAUUCCAAUCGAACUCGGAGAUAGCUGGUUCUCCCCGAAAUAGCUUUAGGGCUAGCCUUGGAUGAUGAGCUUUGGAGGUAGAGCACUGAAUGGACUAGGGGCUGUAUAAGCUACCAAACCCUAUCAAACUCCGAAUGCCAAAGUUUUAAUCCAGGAGUCAGACUACGAGUGAUAAGAUCCGUGGUCAAAAGGGAAACAGCCCAGACCAUCAGCUAAGGUCCCAAAAUGCAGAUUAAGUGGUAAAGGAGGUGAGAUCUCAAAGACAACCAGGAUGUUGGCUUAGAAGCAGCCAUACAUUCAAAGAGUGCGUAAUAGCUCACUGGUCGAGAGGUCUUGCACCGAAGAUGUCCGGGGCUCAAAUCUGCUACCGAAGCUAUGGAUGUACGAAAGUACGUGGUAGGGGAGCAUCGUAUACGGAGCGAAGCCAUAUCGUAAGGAGUGGUGGACUGUAUACGAGAGAGAAUGCUGGCAUAAGUAACGAAAGAUAGGUGAGAAUCCUAUCCAUCGAAAACCUAAGGUUUCCUGAGGAAGGUUCGUCCACUCAGGGUUAGUCGGGACCUAAGUCGAGGCCGAAAGGCGUAGAUGAUGGACAAUCGGUUGAAAUUCCGAUACCACCUUUAAGCGUUUAAGAAAAGGGGUGACGCAGGAGGAUAAGCUGAGCGCACGGAUGGAAAAGUGCGUCUAAGAACUAAGUCAGACCUUCAAGGAAAAUCCGGGAGGUGACGAUAAGGUUUAAUGGGGAGCCGUAAGGCGAAGCAGCUGAAUUCACACUGCCAAGAAAAGCCUCUAUCGAGCAAGAAGGUGCCCGUACCGCAAACCGACACAGGUAGGUGAGGAGAGAAUCCUAAGAUGAGCGAGAGAACCCUUGUUAAGGAACUCGGCAAAUUAACCCCGUAACUUCGGGAGAAGGGGUACUCAAAAGAGUCGCAGUUAAAAGGCCCAAGCAACUGUUUAGCAAAAACACAGGUCUCUGCUAAGUCGCAAGACGAUGUAUAGGGGCUGACGCCUGCCCGGUGCUGGAAGGUUAAGGGGAGAGGUUAGCGAAAGCGAAGCUUUAAACUUAAGCCCCAGUAAACGGCGGCCGUAACUAUAACGGUCCUAAGGUAGCGAAAUUCCUUGUCGGGUAAGUUCCGACCCGCACGAAUGGCGUAAUGACUUGGGCACUGUCUCAACAAGGGACUCGGUGAAAUUGUAGUACCGGUGAAGAUGCCGGUUACCCGCGAUUAGACGGAAAGACCCCGUAGAGCUUUACUGUAGCUUAUCAUUGAGUUUCGGUAUUGUCUGUACAGGAUAGGUGGGAGGCUUAGAAGUAGGGGCGUCAGCUUCUAUGGAGCCAACGUUGGGAUACCACCCUGACAGUACUGAAACUCUAACCGGAGGCUUUGAAACAAGUCACGGGACAUUGUUAGGUGGGCAGUUUGACUGGGGCGGUCGCCUCCUAAAAAGUAACGGAGGCGCCCAAAGGUUCCCU
rnacentral:rRNA from 1 species